UUUUUUGUAACAAUUAUUCAUAUUCCUCUUUCAGGACUUCAAUAUUUUUCAAUAAUGUUUGAAACACCUUUUCUUCAUUCUUGUAGGGCGACAGGAAGCAGCAAGCCAGGAGGCAAAUGAAGGACAACCCCCGCGGGAUCAGGAUGAGGCUGCAACCACAUCUGGUGGUGGCUUGGACAGGCAGACGACACAGAUGGUUAUCAGUGAAAUAUGGGCAUGCAGAGAGGAAGUUGAGGAGAUCCAUCUUGCCAACCGGGAAAUAAAAAAUCGGACCAGGAGGGUUGAAAAUAAACUUAAAAAUUUGUUGGACAUUUUGGGGAGAGUGUAAAUGAUUUUUGGAGUUAGGAUGGUCAAAAAAAAGUACAAAGUGAUUUGGUUAUUUUUGAUAAUCCCAAAAGAAAAAAAAAAAUAUAUA